rnacentral:rRNA from 1 species
AUUGAACGCUGGCGGCAUGCCUUACACAUGCAAGUCGAACGGCAGCGGGCCUUCGGGUGCCGGCGAGUGGCGAACGGGUGAGUAAUGCAUCGGAACGUGCCAUUGAGUGGGGGAUAACGUAGCGAAAGUUGCGCUAAUACCGCAUAUUCUGUGAGCAGGAAAGCAGGGGACCGCAAGGCCUUGCGCUCUUUGAGCGGCCGAUGUCAGAUUAGCUAGUUGGUGAGGUAAAGGCUUACCAAGGCGACGAUCUGUAGCGGGUCUGAGAGGAUGAUCCGCCACACUGGAACUGAGACACGGUCCAGACUCCUACGGGAGGCAGCAGUGGGGAAUUUUGGACAAUGGGGGCAACCCUGAUCCAGCCAUGCCGCGUGAGUGAAGAAGGCCUUCGGG